CCUACGGGCGGCUGCAGUUUCGAAUCAUUCACAAUGGGCGAAAGCCUGAUGGUGCGACGCCGCGUGAGGGAUGAAGGUCUUCGGAUUGUAAACCUCUGUCACUGGGGAGAAAACGCUUUGAGUUAAUAGUUCAAAGCCUGAUUUAACCCGGAGAGGAAGCAGUGGCUAACUCUGUGCCAGCAGCCGCGGUAAUACAGAGACUGCAUGACUUAUUCGGAUUCACUCGGCGUAGAGUGUGCGCAUGCGGUGGGAAAUCCCGAGGCUUAACCUCGGAACUGCGUCUGAAACUACUCGACUAGAGUACUGGAGAGGGAAACGGAAUUCACGGUGUAGCAGUGAAAUGCGUAGAUAUCGUGAGGAACACCAGAGGCGAAGGCGGUUUCCUGGACAGUUACUGACGCUCAGGCACGAAAGCAUGGGGAGCAAAAGGGAUUAGAUACCCCUGUAGUC
rnacentral:rRNA from 1 species